GGAUUCCCUCAGUAGCGGCGAGUGAAGCGGGAAAAGCCCAUCGCCGAAUCCCCGCGUCCCAGUGGCGCGCGGGAAAUGUGGCGUAAGGAAGCCGUGGCUAACCGGGGACGUGCAGCCGACGUCCUUGUGAAGGAGGCUCUCAUCCCAUAGAGUGUGUUAGGCCCCCGCAGGCGGCCGUCGCCGGUGGCCUUAAGGCUUCCAAGAGUCGGGUUGUUUUGGAAUGCAGCCCAAAGACGGGUGGUAAACUCCAUCCAAGGCUAAAUACUAAGCACGAGACCGAUAGAUGACAAGUACCAUGAGGGAAAGUUGAAAAGAACUUUGAAGAGAGAGUUCAAUAGGACGUGAAGCUGCCGAGAAGUAAACGGAAAGGCCCCGCACACUUGGGGCCGGGAGAUUCAGUGCAGGAGAAGGUUUCGGCGCCCCGCUCCGUCUGCGGAUCCCUUUCGGGGGACUCUGGCGGGGUGGGUCGAUGUGCCGUCUCUCGCGCGCAUUUCUCCCGUGCCUCUAGGGUUGGCGACCGACCGCUGAUCGGCCGAGUGGACGCGGUGAAGGCGGGUAGCUCCUCCGGUUCGUCCGGGAGAGAACGUAUAGCCUCACCGUCCGCAUCGGUCGCAAGGUCGAGGAAAGAUGACCACGUUCCGCAUCUGCCCGGACUUAUGUCCUUCAGGGCUAGAGCCGCCGGACUCCCGCUCGUGCGGCGUACGGGGACUGUCCUCAGUGCCCGCUCGCUCGUGCGGUCGAGAAAGGCCGGAUCGCCUCUCAGAUGCACGGGGUCCGCCAACUUUGGCCGGGCGCCUUUUCGACCCGUCUUGAAACACGGACCAAGGAGUCUAACGGGCACGCAAGUCGAAGGGCCGUAUACGAAGCCUCUAGGCGAAAUGAAAGUAAAGGAUGUUUCCGAAUCCGAGGUGGGAUCCGACUCGUUCUACGAUCGGCGCACCACCGCCCCGUCUCGUCCGCUUUGUUCGGUGAGGCGGAGGAAGAGCGUGUACGCUAGGA
rnacentral:rRNA from 1 species